UUGCUGUUGUAGAGAUUUUAACCUUCCCUCCAGCUGGAUAUGGGUUUCCUCCCUUGUAUGUUUGAGCCCUUUAGCUAUGGCUAUCAUUUCUCCUCUGAUGACCGCUUUAUGCGCUUUCCAUUUCCCUUGUUGUGUUAUGUAUGAAAUAUUGCGCUAUGGAUUGUUCUAAUUGUGUUCUGUGUUCUUCUUGGAGGAGUAUGUUAUUAUUGUUAAGCCUCCACAGUAAUUUGUUUCUGUUCAGUUCUGGUGUUGUGAUUUCAAUCCCUAUAGGGGUAUGAUCUGACCAAGGUUGUACUCCUAUCCAGGCUUUGGCAACUUGAUAUGUGGUUUGAGGUUUUGUCAAAAAGGCAUCAAUCCUGUAGCGAGUCUUGUAUGUAGGGGAAAAAUAUGUGUAAUCCCUGGCUAUGGAAUGUUUAGCCCUCCAUUCAUCUAUUAAACCAUGGGUGUGUAUUGUAUUGCUAAAUAAUGGGAUUCUUUGUACCCUUCAAAAUAUCAAGUUUCGUAUCUGCCACUAUAUUAAAAUCCACUGCUAAAAUGCACCUUCCUUGCCGUAUUGUAAUAUCUUUGUAAGAGUAUUGGAUAAAAAAGAAUUUUGGUUCUCAUUCAGAGCAUACAGGUUUAUUAAGGUGUAGGUGCUAUUACCCAGGUCACAUAACAACAGUGAAGAUUUUGUUAAGGUACCUUUAUCAACAUCUUGUAUAGUUUGGAAAGAGGUUUAUCUAACAUUGAAGUAGCUGUUAAAGUCUGCUCCCAAGCUGUUAAAGGCCUAAAUGAAGGUGGAGUUGAUUAUAAUCCAAAAUGUCUCUAGGGUGGGGGUCCCAACAUUUCGGAAUUUCUGCAAGAGGUAUUAUUUUGUUAUCUUUGAUUCUAAUAUUCCUGUUGGCAUAUUGACUCCACCUGGUGAAGGAUCCUCUUUCCAUGCUGAGCACAAAGUAUGGAUUAUACAUAAGAGGUUGAAGAGGGAGUGGGUGGAUGGAUAAAUUAAAUGCUUCUUUAUUUUCUUGACAAACCUUUGAUGUGGCUUUUAUAAGAGGGUGUGAUACAAAUGUGAUGUGUGUGUCUAUGACUGACUAAUUGAUUAGCCAGAAUAGAAAGGACUGGGGUCAAUAUAAUGAAGCAUAGGCAAUAGAGAUAAUGAUUAAGGCUCCUGUAGGUUACUAAAAGUCAAAAGAACAAUUCAUAUAAACAUGUUGUUGCAAGCGUGAAUCAUAGUUAUGAGACUGAUAUUUGCUGCCAAAUUCAAUAGUUCCUGUAGGUUACUAAAAGUCAGACUCGCCUGAUGUUGUUGUGCAACAUCAGGCCCAAUCAGUAACUGCCUUGUGGGAUCAACCCCACGAAUGAAGUAUAAGGUUUGAGAUUUUCCCAUAAUAGCUAGGGACUUUGCCACUGCUGACGAGCUGUGUGAUGUUGUUAUGGUUUGCUGCCUCCAAAAUCGUGUCCCCCGGUUGGAGUGAUGAUAUAAUAUCUAGAUAAAGAACCAUUGGUCUUUCCUUGGAAUCCUUGGGAUCUGGUGUUUGGCAUCAAACGGAAGCGCAUGGACUCCGGGGAUACGAGUGACUAAUACCCAUAAUUCCACUCGCAAUUGGGGAUGGAAAAAUGAUACUUCUAAUCGAACAGAAUAUAUGGACCAGUUAAGAAAAAUGGGUAUACAAAACGUAACUGGACAAUAUAAUUGGACUUUUACUGCCAAUAGUAAAUGGAUAAUAUGUGCAGAUGCUACUAACAUUGCUGGAAGAAGAGUACCUUGGCAAUCUUUAUUGCAUGUUAAUAUUGUAUUUCCUGCCAAGAGAUCAUGUCAUAAUGCGAGACGUAAAAGAGCAUGGUAUGAUACCCUUUUAGGGGGAUAUGGUACAUUGGCAGGAACGUUAAAUAGUUUUGACAUAGAAACUUUAGCUAAUAGAAUGCACAAGGCAGGAGGCUUAACUAAUGAUGCUGUAGUGUGGCAAGCUAAAUGGAUGCCAACUAUUUGGGCCCCAUUACAACAACAAGUUGAAAUUGAUAAAAAUAUCAAUAAUAUGGAAUUGGAAGUUAAUAAUUUCAGUUUGAAUUUUGAUACUAACAUGAAAAAAUUUGUUAACUGGACAGUAUGUACAUUGCAGACUAUUUAUGAACAACAACAAAAAGAUAAUAUGAAAACUUUAUUAAUGACGGGUAAUGAACAAGUAUGAAGAACCGUGUUUAAUAGAACACAAGAAUGGAUACAAAUAUAUCCACAUCAAAUGGUCUGCAAUGACACCAUAUGUAAAGGAACUGUGAUAUUGUUUAAUAUAACACGUCCGACUAUUAUGUGUAAGUAUAUAGUAAUGCCUUUAAUUAUCUCUGGAUAUUUUUGGCAGCCUCUAUUUGUAGGAGCAUAUAUAGAUAACAAAAAUAGAACACACAAUUUAGAAAAUUGUGAAGAUACAUAUAAUGGGAAAGUUUGUAAAUUACAAUCAUCAGUAUAUGAACCAUGUUUAUUACAAAAUUCUAUUAAUCAGUGUUUGUGGACUAUCUUAUGAAUGGAUGUUAGAAAUCAGUCCACAAGUGAUAUGUGUAGUCACUAAUCAAUCUGUAAUACCUAAAAUGCAGACCCCUUUUGUUGGUUGCAUACACAAUGUUUCAGCAUUUACAUGGCAAAAUCAAACAUUUUUAUUAUCUCCAAAUGAGAUGAUUAAUAUUACCCAUAUUUGGACCCCUCACGUACUAGAUCCACCCAAUUGGAAUUUGUCUUUACAUCGCUUAGAGCGAAUUAUGAAUUCUUCGAACGAAGUACGUGAUGUUAUUGUACGAUUGAAUAACAGUUUGGCAGCUCACCAAUUAUAUACUACCAUAGUAGCUCAAAAAAUUGUAAAGUUAGGUUCAACUAUUGCAGAUGCUACAUCUCACCAUUGGUAUGAUGUUUUCACUGGGUAUAGCCCUUCUGCUGAACACAUGUUCUCUGUCUUGAUUCAUCCCUUGCUCAUCAUCAUGAUAUGUAUGUGUAUUCUAACUAUUUGGAAUUGUUAUGUCUUCUAUGGCAUGUGUUGUAAACCAACAACACAACAUAUUAAAAUGGUAACCUACGGUCGCAUUAAUCAUUAGGGGCCGAAUGUGAUACAAAUGUGAUGUGUGUGUCUAUGACUGACUAAUUGAUUAGCCAGAAUAGAAAGGACUGGGGUCAAUAUAAUGAAGCAUAGGCAAUAGAGAUAAUGAUUAAGGCUCCUGUAGGUUACUAAAAGUCAAAAGAACAAUUCAUAUAAACAUGUUGUUGCAAGCGUGAAUCAUAGUUAUGAGACUGAUAUUUGCUGCCAAAUUCAAUAGUUCCUGUAGGUUACUAAAAGUCAGACUCGCCUGAUGUUGUUGUGCAACAUCAGGCCCAAUCAGUAAUUGCCUUGUGGGAUCAACCCCACGAAUGAAGUAUAAGGUUUGAGAUUUUCCCAUAAUAGCUAGGGACUUUGCCACUGCUGACGAGCUGUGUGAUGUUGUUAUGGUUUGCUGCCUCCAAAAUCGUGUCCCCCGGUUGGAGUGAUGAUAUAAUAUCUAGGUAACGUAUUAAUUCAUUAACCCUGUAUAUAUUAACUCUUUUCACUGAUAAGUGUAAGUAAUAAAAAGUGUUGCAUGACAA